AACGAACGCUGGCGGCAUGCCUAACACAUGCAAGUCGAACGCCAUGGUUUCGGCCAUGGAGUGGCGCACGGGUGAGUAACGCGUGGGAACCUGCCUAGCAGUAUGGGACAACCGCGGGAAACUGCGGCUAAUACCGUAUACGCCCGUCUUUGGGAGACCAGGGGCGGGGAAAGAUUGAUCGCUGUUGGAGGGGCCCGCGUCGGAUUAGGUAGUUGGUGGGGUAAAGGCCUACCAAGCCUGCGAUCCGUAGCUGGUCGGAGAGGAUGAUCAGCCACACUGGGACUGAGACACGGCCCAGACUCCUACGGGAGGCAGCAGUGGGGAAUAUUGGACAAUGGGCGCAAGCCUGAUCCAGCAAUGCCGCGUGAGUGAUGAAGGCCUUAGGGUUGUAAAGCUCUUUCACACGCGACGAUGAUGACGGUAGCGUGAGAAGAAGCCCCGGCUAACUCCGUGCCAGCAGCCGCAGUAA
rnacentral:rRNA from 1 species